GAAGGCGUGGCCGAGUGGUUAUGGCGCUGGUCUAGAAAACCAGUGGGCUUCGCCCGCACAGGUUCGAAUCCUGUCGCCUUCG